GGGCAAUGACAUUUGAGUAGAAGUGACAUCUGUCCCUUCGGAGCUGAGAUAUUUAAAUGCUGAAGCAAUGAUCUCAUCUCCUCCUGUAUUCUCCCGCUAAAUAUUGUGGAGGAGGCCUCAUGUCACCUUAGUGACAGAGGGCGAUGAUCAGUAAUGAAGCUAAAAGGUCACCGAACACUGUUUGUGACACCUUGAUAUCGAGGACUUGGGAGGAAGAAGGAAAAAACAAACGAACGAACAGAAAAUUAAGAAACGAACAAUUUAGUUUUUACACAAGCGAAAAGGCAAACACUGUGAUGGGCACAUUCCUCUUCAAGCAAAGAUUUUUGCCGAGCCUGCCGGGAGCAAUGUCACAGGAAAGCCUCAGAAAGCUGUCAGUUCUAAGGAUUGUCUCAAGUGUAAGAGUUAUCUGACCCAGUGUAGGACGUCCUGGAACACGUGGCAUCCAGACACUAAUGGAGAAGGAAGAACAAGAACCUGACAAUGUUGCCUCAAGUGGGAGAAUUCUGACAGGUCGUUUCCAGAGAAACCCAGGGUUCCUAUUCUUCCUUUCCCGGUCCUGCCUCUACAGAUGGGUGCUCCUUAAAAAAAAUUGUCAAAUACCAGAUUCUCUCUCAGCGUCGGCACCACAUACUUUAUGGUGUAUUAAAUGCAGAGGUGGCCAUGUAAAUUUUGUUUCUGGAAAAUAUUUUUUUUAAUAUAUGAAAAUAACACACACAUUCAUCGGUUGUUUAGGUAGAUUUCUGAAGAAAGGAAAACAAUGGGGAAACAUGAAAAGUAGGACAGUAUAAGCUAUUGUUAAAUUGUCUUCCAAUAUUUAGCAAAUAUACAAAUUGCACGUACACUAUGCUUCUUCAUCGGAGCAACUCAUUUCCCUGUUGUGUUUUUGUGUAUGUGUUUACUGAAAUCAUUGUAGGUUUUACUGGAUCUCAUACAUGAAGAAAUUCUGAGGAAUAUAUCUGGAACCAUGUAGAAUGGUCGAGAACUCUCAGGGACGCAGGCAGCC
rnacentral:lncRNA from 1 species